rnacentral:SRP_RNA from 1 species
GCCGGGCGUUGUGGUGGGUGCCUGUGGUCCCAGCUACUUGGGAGGCAGAGGCAGGAGACUCGCUUGAGCCCAGGAGUUGGAGGUUGCUGUGAGCUGUGAUGCCAUGGCACUCUACCCAGGGGGACAGCUUGAGGCUCUGUCUCAAAAAAAAAAAAAAUUAAUUAAUUAAUUAAUUUAAUUUAAUUUAAUUUAAUAUGUGUCAUUAGGAAAUGCUAUUUAGAUUCACUUAACAAUCAGCAACUAGAUUUUUGGGGGGGAGGGGUUGUUUUUUUGAGACAGAGCCUCAAACUGUCCCCCUGGGUAGAGUGCCAUGGUAUCACAGCUCACACCAACUUCCAACUCCUGGGCUCAAGCAAGUCUCCUGCUUCAG